rnacentral:rRNA from 1 species
UACGUAGGGACCGAGCGUUGUCCGGAAUCACUGGGCGUAAAGAGCGUGUAGGCGGCUUGUUAAGUCUUGCGUGAAAUCUCGGGGCUCAACCCCGAGCGGUCGUGAGAAACUGGCAGGCUAGAGUGCGGGAGAGGAGAGUGGAAUUCCUGGUGUAGCGGUGGAAUGCGCAGAUAUCAGGAAGAACACCCGUGGCGAAGGCGGCUCUCUGGAACGCAACUGACGCUGAGACGCGAAAGCGUGGGGAGCAAACAGG